rnacentral:misc_RNA from 1 species
ACAGGUAAACCAAACACCCCUUAAAUCAUUGAAUAUCUCCAUUUCUUUUCAGCGGACUUCAAUUGUUCUGUCGUCUAUCGAAUUCCCCAGCAAACUUCAGAAGUUUCAAAACAUCAUAUGACUGUAAUCCUUGAAAAACUUAAAGCUAGAAAUCAUUAUUGUGUAAGACUUGUAUCAGCUCAAGGAUCAAAAUUCUUACAAGCUGAGAUAAAACUUGUAAAUCAGUUUAUGUGUUGGAAUACUAAGUUUCUCUUAUCGGGAAAUGCAUUGACAUCUAUUAAAAGUAAUGUUUGAUACCAGCAUAUGAGAGUUUUAAGCAAAAUAGCUAUUCUCUAAUAUUAAAUUAGACAACUCCCAAAACUCGGCUUCAAAGCCUCUAGUGAAGCUACAUCUACACACAACCUUCCAAAAGUCAAAGUCAACAAAACAUAGUCCACCGUGUGUCAAAGCAUGGCAUAGAAGGCUCCAAAAAAGAUUUUUGUGCUCACUCAAAGAGGAAAGGAGAUGCACUUCCAGCAACAGAGAUAGACAACUGGAGUUGCCUGCACAUAAGAUGUUGUAAACUAAUAGAAAUUGCCUUAACAAUCAAUUCUUUUUAUCUGAAGAAGCAAAUGGGUAGGACUGUUCAAAUCACCCCAUAAAGUAUUGUUUGGCAAGACAAUGGAGAUUCCAUCUUAUUUUGGCAUGACAUUUGGUAUUUGAGUUUCCCCUGAGAAAUAGUUUUAGUUGGUCAGGGACAUGAUUACUUUGGUAAUCUCUUUUAUGAUUCCUUUAAUUGGGGCGUAGCUUUUGAGCAGAAUGUUAAGGAGAGGCAAGUAGUGAUCUUACUUUUUUGAAUUUAUUGUGCGCUAUGGUGUUGGAUACACAAAGAGAGGAUUGUGCUUUGUGGAGGCUCACUAAAUCCUAAAACUAUUCCCUAAUCAGGGAGAGGAAAAGCAACGGGAGAUUAUUUCCCAAGGCAAUUUGGAAGAACACUGCCAUUAAAAAUUUGCCCA